GCUCAUGUCCUUUAGGUCCCUCAGUGGCAUUCUGUUCACCCCGAGCUCAGUAUCCAGAUAAAUACCAAAACAGAGUGGCAGUAAUUCAACUCUUACAGGAGGAAGGAACUACGGAAGAGUCUACUUUAUCCGAGAGGACGUCUGCUUCCCAAUCCUCAUCAAUUUCAUGAGGAAUCUCACUGAUAGGCAGUGGAAGGUGAUUCAGGAGGGCAUGAGAAAUCCUGUAAGUUUAUCUGUCAACAUUUGAUGUGAUUAUUUGAUAGAAAGUUCGACAUGAAGUUUAUCAUAUUGACUAACUAAGCACUUGACACCACAGCCUCUCAAAAAUAAAUAUCAUGCUCUUUUUUUGUAUUGAAACCAAAAUAUUACGGGAAUAGAGCGAAAACAGUUUCCCAUAUAGCGGAAGAAAUCCUCACCCUGACCCUUGCACAUAUAUUAGAGCUAGAUGCCGUUAAAGAAGCUAGCGCCUCUCCCUCGCUGACUGGAUCAGAGUGCGUGCAUCCAGGAACAUGUGGUGAAAUUUAAUGAAGGUCUACCUAAGAGGCCUGGCAGUGGAAAGGCCAUGUGUAGUCAACGGGUCAAGAAAUGAUCAGCGAACACAGUUACCACAACAGAGAAUUGAGGACGAGUGGCAGUGGCAGACAAUUUUACAGCUCCCACACACCCACUCCACGUUCUUCCACAAGUUCCCAGACGUCGUUGCAGAGGGCACAUAGAGGAGACGCUCGACUGACAGAUCCUCUUAAUGCCCUCUUUGGGAUCAAAGAUCUGUUGCCAGAGAUGUCUUGAGUCAGGUGAACUCUGACAUCUCACUGAUCAUCUCCUGUUCCAGCUCAGGUAAAUCAAGACCGGUGUUGUGUGACACUGGCAGGCGAUAUACCAUGCAGGCCGCCCAGAAGCUGGUGUCUGCUAUCUGUGCCAAGCUGUGGAGGUUUGGAGUCACUGGACAGKCUGCGCCUCAAGCCAAAACCGAUCCAUCUAAGGRGAAUGUGGACAUUGAGGCUUCCUUUGCACUGUCGACAGGAGAGGUCAUGGCUGUUAUGGUCAACUCCAGAGAAUGCCAGGAAGGAGAGUAAGGAACAAWGGAUGCGCUUCGAGAAAUCGCACAAAGUCCAUAUUUUUUUCCCGCUUCAAGGGAUAGUGUUGGUGGUCUUCUGGAAGACUCCCUAGCAGAGAAAGAAUAUCUGAAAGAGACUGUAUCCCCUGGCAGCUUGGUGAGUCAAAACAUCCUCAUACUUUCACCUUCUGAGAAAAUGUUUGGAUCUCCUGUAAUGACAACCAUUGAUAAAUUAUCCAGUGRUGAAUUGAAGUCAGAAGCUACUAAAGUUUUUAGCGAAGUCKAUCUGCACAAACGUMUGCUUGCACACCUGAGCUUUCAAGUAAUCUGGCCAGUGAAAGGAAUCUGCCAGCUAUGUCAGAAGACCAUUUAACAACUACAAUUAAUGUAGGUUCUGAAGCCUCUGAAAUGAUGGAUUCCUUUCUGAGGAGCAGGCCCAGAGUGGUUCCAGUUCUCCUCAGGCUGUGAAACAAGGCAAACUACUGUAAAUCGCUCUGGAUAAUUGAUAAAAUAUUUUAUAUGUUGAAAGAUGAUUAAAU